rnacentral:tRNA from 11 species
GGGCCUGUAGCUCAGCCUGGAUAGAGCAUCGGCCUUCGGAGCCGAGUGUCGGGGGUUCGAAUCCUCCCGGGCCCG